ACCGCGCCCGGCCUCCUCUUAUUUUUCCUCAGCUGAAAACAUGAGAAGAUUUAAUGAUUUCUCUUUUUUUCCUUCUCCUAAAAACAUGAGAGGAUUUUUCUACAAUAUUCAGUGUGGUAACUAGGUUGAGUACCCGGAGGUAAAGCUCACAAAAGUAUGUGGUAUUCUGUAUGACUGCAUCCCCCUUUGAUUUUUCGGCUUUCAGAGUUGACCACACUGAGCUUUCAGCAAUUAAUCACUUAACAUUUCACUUCCUCCAUUCCACGGAUGGAUCCUGAGGAGGUUUCAGUUCAUGAAUUUCUGUUCUGAGGAGUUGUGACUGGAAUUGGCUCAUGUGGUUGUGAGGGCUAGCAAGUUCAAAAUAUUCAAGGUAGGCUGACAGGCUUGAGACCCAGGGAAGAGUUGGCAUUGCAAGCUGGAGUCCAGAGGCAGUCUUGAAACAGAACUGCUUCUUCCCCAAGGAACCUCUGUCUUUUUUCUUAGGGCCUUCAACUGACUGAACAAGGCCUGCCAUAUUAUGGAUGGAACAAGUGUUGGACUUUAAGUUUGCACCAGGAAACCAAGUGUUAGUAGAAAAACUGUGCCAAGAUUUAAGAGAGAACAUGUGAACCUAACACAGCAAGAAGUCAAUGACAAACUUAAACAACUUGAUGAUUUCUCUACAGAAAGGCUGAGAUAUAAACUUGGCUUUGUUACUUACAAUACCUAUAUUUGGAAGAGUGGAGUUUGAAGACAAAGACAGUAAUUUUGUGGGUUUAAGAAGAAAAGGCCUUGAGAAUAUUUAAACAGUAAAAAUAGCAGUUAACCUUGAAGAGACUCUUUCAUGAAUAACUUGCCUCAAGAAAAGGAUCCAGGCCCCUGGAAAUAAGUACACUGGAAGAAUACAAUUAUUAUAUGAAAUUGAAAUGCAUACUUCGUGUGAUUGAGCUGAAUGAAGGUGGCUUACACCAUUUAUGUGGCACUGUAAGAGUCAAACUAGAGGCAAAAGUUGAAAGGCCGUUUAUUCAAUUCACAACCAAAUUAAAAGGUACAGAACCAAUGUUCCCUAAAAGCAACCACCUGAAUUAAUAAUUAACAAUUUGAAAUCAAGGGAUGUUUUUUACACAGACAGUAUACAUUUAAUGACUAAAUUGGAACAUACACAGUUGACAGUUAAUUUCUAUUGAAUACUCCUCAUAGUAUUUUCUAGUUUAUACUGAGUCAAAAAACCAAGAAACCAAUGCCAUAAAUGAAAAGAUGCAGAGAAACAAAGCCAUUAUUUCAUCAGUAGAAGUGCAAAAGGUUAGAACAAAUGAAACAACUUCUAAUGGAAUGAACUAUUGAUAUAAUUAAGGUAUUAUAGAAGCUCACCAAAUCAAGCUAUGAAUAAAUCAAUUAUUUUAAUUGACCAGCCUGCAGUUUGUACCAUAUGAUGUUUCUCUCUCUCUUCCUUUUUCUUUUUUUUUUUGAAUAAUAAUAUGUUCUAAUAAUCAGUAAAAAUAUCAGAGAAAAAAAUAAAACUUUUAAGGUGAUAUUGUAUUUUAUAACAAAUAAUACCACAUUAAUUUGAUAAAGUAAUAUCAAACAUGACUUUAGGCCUAUACUGUUGAUAAAAUGAUGUGAAAUAUGACUUUAAACUUGCCCUAUUCAUUACUAUAACCUAUAGUCAGUCAAAUAUGGCUAUUGAACCCUUGAAAUGGUUUAGUCCAAAUUAACAUGUGCUAUAAGUAUAAAAUAUGCACAGAAUAUCAAAGGAAAAAUGUGAACUAUUUCAUUUCAUUGACAAUUUUUAUAUUGAUUACAUAUUGAAAGGAUAAUAUUUUGACUAUAUUGGGCUAAAUAAAUAUAUUGUAAGGUCAAUUAUUACCUAUUACUUUUUCCAUCUCUAAAUAUGCCUAGUAGAAAAUUUAAAAUUAUAUAUGCAAUCACUUAUUUAUACUAGACAUCAUUGUUUUAUAGUGCUAGGAUAUUAGUUAAGAUGUUAAAAGAAAUGAAGAAGUUUUAUGUUCCAGAAUUUGAUCCAAUAUGAGGUAUGAAAAUCUUACUACUUAUGGCAAAACAUGGUCAAUAGUUUUUAUAAGAAAUUAUCUUCAAGUUUUCUAAAACAAAACAUGCUUGUAAUAUUAUAUUUUAAAACUUAUGUGGCUAUUUUAAUACAAUAGUUGAUACAACUAAAAUUAGGCAUGAGAGAUUUGAUUUUUGGCAUUUGUAAUUAAAAUAAUGCAGAAUUUUAUUGAAAUAUUGAUGACUUCAAAAUGUUUGAAGGAGGUUCAUUCAAUUACUGGACUUGUUGGUUCUUUUGCUUUUUCUCCUCCACUAAGCUUGUCUUUACCCUCACUUCAGCUACUUACUAUUAGUUAUAGCCCACACUUUUUCCUACAGUAAUUUCAAUUUCCUCCCUCAUCAUCUGCUUAAAACAUUCAACUCUCCACCUCCUUCUAUCAUUCUAGUUUUUUCCCUCCAGAACCCCAAUUGUAACAGUCAUUCAACACACCAGAAACUAGAAUUAUGACUCUUAUAACUCUUUUAUAGGUACCAGCCUCAUUUCUUCCCACUGUACACAACUGAAAGUUCAUGAUCAGUCAUUAAAAUCACUGUGUUUCAUAUGUCUUCUGAUAUCUUGCUCCUUACUUGUCUAAACCCUAAUCCCUUUAAAAGUUAACUCUCUGCCUACUGCUGCUGAACAUGGCUGGAGAAAGACACACGUCCACGAUAUGGGUCUCAUUUUAAACUAAAGAUCAUUUAUUUGAAGAAGGUCUUUGAUGUUGCUCAGAAAUGAGAUUAUACUUCCCUUUACUCUUUCAAUUAUUAUCUUCCUCCAUGUAUCCAAUAACUCCUCCUUCAUCCCAAGUCCCUGUUAGUGACCUUCUUUACAGUUGCAGUGUAUGAAGAAUGCAAAGCGUUCCUGAAGACUCCACUACCACAAUCCUUUGUUUUGAAAGCAGUAUUAUCUAGAGCUUUUGUGACACAGACCCAGAGAACAGAGACCAUCAAUCUUCAACACAUUGUAUCUCAAGCUGAGAAAACCAAGGUCAAGACAACUCGGAUUAAUUCCUGUAGUCAACAUAGUGAAUGAGUUGAAGACUGUAAGUUUUCUUUCCCUCUGCCAAGACCUCUUACAAGAGCAAGAGCCACUUCCACUUGGAAAAACACAUACUCAACCACAGAGAUUUACACCAUACACAGAAAUGAAGAAAGAGAAAACAUGCUAAAAAAUAAAAUGUUAAAGUAAGAAGCUUCAAAAUAAUUUACAGG